CUUCUCUCCCUCAACUCACUGGUAGUUAGAAAGACAAAAUUCAGGGUGGAGAGUGGAGUUAUGUGAGGUGGAAGCUGGAAGCAAGGCUGCAGGCUGGGAAGGCAGAAAGUCAGAGCCAUGCCUGAUUUCUGCUGAAAUCCAAUGCUGUGGCUGUGGGAGAAGCAAGACCCUCUUGCGGUGCGAAUGCUGUGAACCCCUCCAGUAUAGGCUCAGGUUGUAUAUAUGUGUAAUUAACUAUGUGUCAUAAGGAAACCACAGCCUCUGCUGUACCUCAUUCCAAAGGAAACACAAACCCCUGGUAAGCUCCUGGAACUCCGGAAAUCCUACAUUGCUCAGAGAUUGGGGUGACAUGGAACAGAAUGUUUAGUCUCUAGUGAAUGAAAGGGCAAAUGUAUGCAUAUUCUCUAGAAUCCAGUGGAUGUGUGGAGAACGACUGUAGCUCCGUGGUAGCACACAUGCUUUGCAAGCCAAGUAUUGGCUCAUGAUGCAUAGCCAUACGGUCAAGUGGGUCCCUGCACAUAUAACAUGCUUUUUGUACAUUGGUAAAUUAUGGACUGUGAUGCCUUGUGUGGUGUGUUGAGUUGGCAUUCCCUCUUGCACAUGCUGGGAGCUGAUUCAUUUAGCUCCAUUGCCUGGCAGUGGCUCUCCAGGAUUUUAGACAGUCCAGGUCUACUUGGAGAAACUGGCCAUUGCACCCAGGGUCAUCUACAUGCAAAGAAUGUACUCUACCACAAAGUAGCAACUCUUUCCUGAGUGAGGUGUAUUCAGCACCACAAUGCCAAAAGUUUUCCAUAAAACAUCAAUUGAAACUCUUAUAUGAAACACAGAAGUGUUUCAAAUUAUUGCUGCAUGACUACCAGAAAGUCAAGUUUAGAUUUACAAAGCACAAAUCUGUUUUCUCAAGAAUGAUAAAGUACAUGCCUGUCAACUGGAAGUUGAUAUGGAUGAAAUUGCCCAUACAUAAUUCCCACUAGAACAAAAAUUGAGUUUACAAAGCACCACCAGAAUGCUGGUGCAAAAAUAAUUCAAUAGAUGUUUGUUGGAUGCAUUUCAAUGUGCUGGUUGUUCUCAAUGGUACUAAAUUAUAUAGGUUUAAGUUAAAAUGGAUCCAGGUGGACCAGCAAGCACCAGUCUUCUGUGCUUUUGAGGACAGGGGGUAUAUUCAGCGGAUAUGCCUGUAUGAGCCUACCCUUAUGAGCUGGAUAUUUCCUGGAUGAUUUUGCCCCUUUCUUUUUGUGGUUUAAACAGAGGCAGCUCCAGUGUCUCUUGCAUCCACUUGAGCCCCAAACUCUUUGCUCUACCUUCUCUUAUUUGGGCCACACCUUUUCCUUUCCCAUUCAACCAUAUUCAUUCACUUACCAUAUUCUUCACACCCCUUUCACCUUCAUCCAAUGGGUGAAAAAAUAAUCCCAUUAAUGGUUUCUGUGGUGUAUUUUGUUGGAUUUCUAGUAUGUGGUAGAAAUUCAAACACAAAUCAUUACAAACAACAAAAAAUAUCUUUUAAAGGGGAAAUCAUUUAUUUAUUUCAUAAAAGUUAUACACUGAUUGAUUGUAAAAACCUCAAAGUGGUUUACAAGAGAUAAAAUAGUAAAAUCAAGUAAAAUUCACAAGCCUACUUUCAUGAUGAUUAUAUUAUUAUUAUUAAUAAUAAUAAUAAUAAUAAUAAUAAUAAUAAUAAUAAUAAUUUGUUUAUAGCCCACCCAUCUGGCUGGGUUUCCCCAGCCACUCUGGGCGGCUCUCAACAGAAUAUUAAAAACAUGAUAAAACGUCAAAAAUUAAAAAUUUCCCUAAACAGGGCUGCCUUCAGAUGUCUUUUAAAGGUGAGAUAGCUGCUUAUUUCUCUCACAUCUGAAGGGAGGGCGUUCCACGGGGUGGGCGCCACUACCGAGAAGGCCCUCUGUCUGGUUCCCUGUAACCUCACUUCUCGCAAUCAGGGAACUGCCAGAAGGCCCUUGGCGCUGGAUUUCAGUGUCCGGGCUGAAUGAUGGGUGGAGACGCUCCUUCAGGUAUACAGGACUGAGGCCAUUUAGGGCUUUAAAGGUCAGCACCAACACUUUGAAUUGUGCUCGGAAACGUAUUGGGAGCCAAUGCAGAUCUCUCAGGACCGGUGUUAUGUAGUCCAGGCAGCCACUCCCAGUCACCAGUCUAGCUGCUGCAUUCUGGAUUAAUUGCAGUUUCCGGGUCACCUUCAAAGGUAGCCCCACGUAGAGCGCAUUGCAGUAGUCCAAGAGGGAGAUAACUAGAGCAUGCACCACUCUGGUGAGACAGUCUGCGGGCAGGUAGGGUCUCAGCCUGCGUACCAGGUGGAGCUGGUAGACAGCUGCCCAGGGCACAGAAUUAACCUGUGCCUCCAUGGACAGCUGUGAUUCCAAAAUGACUCCCAGGCUGCGCACCUUCAGGGGCACAGUUACCCCAUUCAGGACCAGGGAGUCCCACACACCCGCCCGCCCCCUGUCCCCCAGAAACAGUACUUCUGUCUUGUCAGGAUUCAACCUCAAUCUGUUAGCCGCCAUCCAUCCUCCAGCCACCUCCAGGCACUCACACAGGACCUUCACCGCCUUCACUGGUUCUGAUUUGAAAGAGAGGUAGAGCUGGGUAUCAUCUGCAUACUGAUGAACACCCAGCCCAAACCCCCUGGUGAUCUCUCCCAGCGGCUUCAUAUAGAUAUUAAAAAGCAUGGGGGAGAGGACGGAACCCUGAGGCACCCCACAAGUGAGGACCCAGGGGUCUGAACACUCAUCCCCCACCACCACUUUCUGAACACGGCCCAGGAGGAAGGAGCGAAACCACUGUAUAACAGUGCUCCCAGCCCCUCUAGACGGUCCAGAAGGAUGUUAUGGUCAAUGGUGUCAAAAGCCGCUGAGAGAUCCAGCAGAACUAGGAAACAGCUCUCACCUUUGUCCCUAGCCCGCCGGAGAUCAUCGACCAGUGUGACCAAGGCAGUUUCAGUCCCAUGAUGAGGCCUGAUUCCCGAUUGGAAGGGAUCCAAAUGGUCCGCAUCCUCCAGGCAUGCUUGGAGUUGCUCAGCAACCACGCGCUCAAUCACCUUGCCCAAGAAUGGAAGAUUUGAGACUGGGUGAUAGUUAGCCAUAUUGGCUGGGUCUAAAGAUGUUUUUUAAGAAGCGGUUUAAUGACCACCUCUUUCAGCGGAUCUGAGAAGGCUCCCUCACAUAGGAAAGCAUUCACCACCCCACAGAACCCAUCACCCAGCCCUUCCCGGCUUGCUUUUAUGGACAAGGAUGGACAAGGCUCAAGAAGACAGGUGGUUGGUUUCACUCGUCCAAGCAGCCUGUCCACAUCCUCAGAUGUAACAGACUGAAAUUGAUCCCAUAUAAUAUGACUAGACAGGACUCUAGCACACUCCUGCCCCGGCCCUGCUCCCAUGGUGGAGUCUACCUCUUUCUGAAUCUGAGCGACUUUAUCUGCAAAAAACUUUGCAAAAGCAUUGCAAGAGAUCUUGGGGUCCAGGUGGUGCAGGUGGUUCCAAUAGAUUGUGAACCACCUCAAAGAGUCUCCUGCUGCUGUUUUCUGAAGAUGCAAUAGAGGUGGCAAAGAAGGUCCUCUUCGCCAUUGCCAUCACCACUUGGUAGGCUCGACGUUGAGCACUAACCCGUGAGUGAGUUUCCCGCCGGCAUUCUAGCCGUCUCAGCAAUUGUUUCCUCGCCCUCAGCUCCGAAGAAAACCAUGGGGCUGUCCGGGCUCCAUGCAAUCGGAGAGGGCGCUUCGGAGCCAGACAGUCAAAAACCCUGGUUAACUUUGCAUUCCAGCGGGCCACCAGGGAAUCAGCUGAUUCACUGAAAGGCCAUCAACAUGGGAUAAAAAAUCCCCUACCACUCUCUGGAAACCAUUUGGAUCCAUUAAGCAGCGGGGGCAGACCAUCCAAAUCGGUCCCACCUCCCUGCAGAGGGGAAGGGUCGCGGAGAAGUCCAGUUGCACCAGGAAGUGAUCUGACCAUGGCACUUCUUUUGUUUCACUUUUACUUAAUGUCAGAUCACCAACAUCCAUAGAGGUGAACACCAAGUCUAAGGCAUGUCCGCGGCUAUGAGUUGGGCCAAACUUAUUCAGGGACAGUCCCAUGGAGGCCAUGCUUUCCACGAAGUCCCGAGUGGCCCCUUGUAAGGUCGUGUCGGCAUGGAUGUUAAAAUCCCCUAGGACAAUCAAUCUGCCAUGACCUGAAGCACCUCGGGCAGGGAAUCCUUGGUGCAGCGAGGAGGUCAGUACACCAAAAGGAAUCCUGUACUGCCCCUAUUGCCCAACUUCCAGAACAUGCACUCAGAAAACUGGUUCUUCCCAAUAGGAUGCCUGGUGCAAACUAGUGACUUCCUAAAAAUCACUGCAACCCCCCCUCUCCCCGCCCACAUGACCUGGGUUGCUGUGCGUAAGAGAAACCUGGUGGACAAGCAGCAGCAAGGACAGGCCCAUCUGCUUCAUCAAACCAGGUCUCUGUCACACAUGCCAGGUCAAAUUCUUCAUCCAUAAUCAGGUCUUGGAUGGCAGUGGUCUUAUUCAUCAUUGACCUGGCAUUGCACAGCAACACUUUCAGGUCAUGUGGGUUUCCCUUGCUGAUUCCAGUAUCCUUCUGGUCAGGACCAGACCUGGAGGCAGGGAUAGUCCUUAGACAACAACUAAACCUGCCUCCUCGGUAAUGACAUGGUCUGGUCUUAGCAUAGCUCCUCUUCCUGCCCGUGAUCACUGAGAUCGGGUGUCCUGGUGCUUCUGCCUCUGUGGAACCUGCCCCAGCCAUUCUGUUGGCUGAAGCCCACUCCCAGGCAGCCCUGACCCUUUCCCUUUAAAAAGCAAAAUACAAACUAUACAGUAGCCUAACAAAAUAGUAAAAGUAAAAACAAAGCCAAAAACAAUUAUACUAAAAUAAAACUAAUCCCCACCCCAAGUCAACAUUUAUCCCACACCAAACAAAAAUAAAAUAAAAUAAAAUAAAAAUAUAGAAAUAAAAACCACUGUUCACAGUGCAACAAAGUAAAAACACUUUAAAAACAUUUUAAAAUAUGUAAAACCAUUUUCGACAUUUGCUGCAGCCGUAGCAUCAACAGCAACGUCCUGAGGCCUCGCUGGAGCCUCUUAGAGCUGUGGUGGUGAGUGUGAAUUGGCCUUCCCCAACACUCACAUUGGCAGCAGCAGCAGUGUCCCAAGGCCUUGCUUAAACUUACAGUGGUUUGCUUCUUCCAUGACCAGUCAAACAAACAGUUGUUGUACAUACAGCACACACCAGAAGUGCUUUUACCAUCUAUGGGGUCACUUCCCAAACUUGCAUCAGCAUAUAUUUCAAGCCCUCCAGACAACCGUUUUAUCAUACUCAUCAGCAAAACACCGCCUCCAUGCACAAAUACCUCAAAUGGAUCAAACAACGCAGUAUUAUUGAAGGAGAGAAGCAGCAGCCACUGGGACCAGCUUAAUAUUCAUCUCCACAACUGCCUUUGACGCCACAGUUACUGAGCGGGGAGCUUGAGUUGGGCUCUAAUUGCUAAACAAGUAUCUGGAGGCAUCUGGUUUCCCUGGGAACAGCCACAGCUUUUUGAUUGCACUGAUUCAUAACAUUUUAUUUACCCCUUUAGGAGGAGCCAGGCCUGAGCCCAACAGAAAAGGAGAUGGAAUUGGGGAAAGGGCUGCUACAGAAGGGUCAAUUUCUGCCUAGCUUUUAGAAUGGCUCUCUCACAAAACCAUAUCCACCUGCAAGCUUCUAGGAAGCAGAUACCAAAUGAAUGUAUUGGCUGAGAUACAGAGGGACUGUCAUUCAAGCCAUUUGGAGGGUUGAGGGGGGAGAACAAAAGAAAGCAAUCCAUUAAGGUUGUGCAGAAAAGCUGGAGGACAAGGAGUCACUUCAGCAAAUGGCAAAUGUCAGUGCUUUGUGGAACAGACCCUGGAAAACAAGGAACCUGGAAUUGCCUGUCUUAGCAUCCAACUCUGUAGAAGGAAAGUGAAAUAUACCAAGUCGCGUAGUGAUUUCAUGCUCUUUAUUGCAGCU